GCUUAACACAUGCAAGUCGAGGGGAAACGACAUCGAAAGCUUGCUUUUGAUGGGCGUCGACCGGCGCACGGGUGAGUAACGCGUAUCCAACCUGCCCACCACUUGGGGAUAACCUUGCGAAAGUAAGACUAAUACCCAAUGAUAUCUCUAGAAGACAUCUGAAAGGGAUUAAAGAUUUAUCGGUGAUGGAUGGGGAUGCGUCUGAUUAGCUUGUUGGCGGGGUAGCGGCCCACCAAGGCGACGAUCAGUAGGGGUUCUGAGAGGAAGGUCCCCCACAUUGGAACUGAGACACGGUCCAAACUCCUACGGGAGGCAGCAGUGAGGAAUAUUGGUCAAUGGACGAGAGUCUGAACCAGCCAAGUAGCGUGCAGGAUGACGGCCCUAUGGGUUGUAAACUGCUUUUAUAAGGGAAUAAAGUGAGUCUCGUGAGACUUUUUGCAUGUACCUUAUGAAUAAGGACCGGCUAAUUCCGUGCCAGCAGCCGCGGUAAUACGGAAGGUCCGGGCGUUAUCCGGAUUUAUUGGGUUUAAAGGGAGCGUAGGCCGGAGAUUAAGCGUGUUGUGAAAUGUAGACGCUCAACGUCUGCACUGCAGCGCGAACUGGUUUCCUUGAGUACGCACAAAGUGGGCGGAAUUCGUGGUGUAGCGGUGAAAUGCUUAGAUAUCACGAAGAACUCCGAUUGCGAAGGCAGCUCACUGGAAGCGCAACUGACGCUGAAGCUGGAAAGCGCGGGUAUUGAACAGGAUUAGAUACCCUGGUAGUCCGCACGGUAAACGAUGGAUGCCCGGUGUUGGUUUGAAUAGGUCAGCGGCC
rnacentral:rRNA from 1 species